AGCCAGUUGACUUAUUUGCUUAGUAUCAAAAGCCAUGGAAUAAAACACAACAACAUCUCUCUCCAUCUGCCAUUUCAGGGAUUAGACCUUUCCUUCAGCCAGCCAGCAAAAGAGGCCAAGGCAGCAAACUGGUGCGUACAGUCAGAGAUGGAAAGUGGUCACUGAUGGGAGCUGCUGUUGAGGCUAAGUGCAUCUCAGCAAGCCAUCAGGAGCAGGAACAAGCAGCCCUGGCCAGGGACAUAUUUUGGAGGGAAAGCUGCAGCAACAUCAUGUUUAGAAAAGAUGCUUGAACUCCCAUCUAAGUGUUCAUGGAAGCUAUUUUCACCUUCAGCUGCUGCAGAUUUGUUCCUGGGAUGGUGGCUGCACCGAGCGGCUGACACAGACCUGAGAAUCAAUCAAAAGUAAUUGAAACAGAAGAGGCUCAGCAAUCAACCUAUUAGGUUGCUGGAGCCAGAAAAACGCUGCAAUGAGGAGCCACAGAAAGCAGAACAGGCUUCCCUUCUGAAAACUUAAUGUGAGGAAGAAGCUUUGGCUGCGCUGUUGUUUCUUACCAGAAGAAUGAAAAUCUGUGGGAUUCUUUCUGUGUAUUUUCAUCCCCUUUAAUGGGAAGGGGAGAAAGGAAAGAAACCAUUAGCUGUAAAAAAUGCCAUAGAAUCACAGAAUGGUUAAUCUCAUACUCUUUUCUUUCCCUCACUCCCGCCUUCUAUAUGCAACAAAAUGAUUCUUUGCUCUCAA